GCUCUCGCCCGAACUAAAUUGCCAAAACCCUAGCCUUUUCCCCAAUUCAACAGCAAGACGGCCGUCGGUCGUCCUUCGCAGGCGCGGAUAGUUGGAGCCUAUUGAAAUCUGCAGUGUCAAUUGCUUGCAAUCACAUCUUUUGCAACUCAUGCAUUAUGGAGUCAAUGAAAUCUGUGUUUAAUUGCCCAGUCUGUAAAGUUCCAUACCACCGAAGAGAAAUUCGUGCUUCUCCUCACAUGAACAAUUUGAUAAGCAUUUACAAAAGCAUGGAAGUUGCAUCUGGGACCAAUAUCUUAUCAAUUCAAACAGACACCUAGUCAAGUUGAAGGUGACAAUCUUUUCUGCUCCAUUGCUUUUCAACACAACUAUAGCAACCACAAAAUCAGUUGAUACAGAUCAUUAGUUUCUUGUGUCAUGAAGCACGAUGUUGAUAGUUAGC